UACGUAGGUGGCGAGCGUUAUCCGGAAUUACUGGGUGUAAAGGGUGUGUAGGCGGGACUGCAAGUCAGAUGUGAAAAAGCAGGGCUCAACCCUGCCAGUGCAUUUGAAACUGUGGUUCUUGAGGGUCGGAGAGGUAAACGGAAUUCCCAGUGUAGCGGUGAAAUGCGUAGAUAUUGGGAGGAACACCAGUGGCGAAGGCGGUUUACUGGACGACAACUGACGCUGAGACACGAAAGCGUGGGGAGCAAAC
rnacentral:rRNA from 1 species